GAACUACCCAGAAACAGUUACUUCCGUCCAGUUCUCGAAUUGGAUUAGGAUUGACGCCCUAUCGGACUCGAGAGAUCGGAACUGGGCUAUCCCGACGAAGAAUAGCAAAAGCCUCGUCUCCAAACAGGCUUCGGUCGGCUGGCGCCGAUCAUCCGGCUCCGGAAGCCGGUCUCCCGCCUCGGCUCGGCUAUGUUGACUCGCCGCUCCUAGUCGUCGUCGUCGUCGUCGUCGUCGCUUCAAGGAGAACAAAGCACCCCACCUUCGACGCUCGAGAUUCGCCAUCAAAGCCUUCUAAAAAAUCCUCAAGCUCCCCUCGCUAGCUCGGCCAUGUUCGGUGCUCGCGACGCCUUCGCCGCGUGAUCUUCAGCUGCUACGGCGAUUCCCCCCGCCGGCUCCGGAGAGAUGAUGAUGCGUCUUUUCACGACACAAUCAGAAUAUGCUGAUCGACUUGCUGCUGCUGUUGAAGCCGAGACUCAUUGUACAAGUCAAAUGUGGAACUAAUUGAUCAGAUAAGCAUGCAACAAAGCCGUAUUAUGCGCCUAGAAGGUGUGAUAAUUUGCUUGUAAGCAUGUGUUUCCAUCAUGAUGUUUCUGUAGAGGACUGGAACUAUAUGGAUUGUAUGCAAGCCUGCAGCAUAUGAAUCUUUUAGUAUUUGCCUGGCUCGUGCAUCGGGAAAAUCGCAUUCUGCAUAUUCGGAAUCUGUCAGUUUGGGGUUUGAUCGCAAUUGUUGUGAUCCAAUGCUUUACUUGUAGAAAUUGAAAAUUUUACUGAGCGACUAAAACUGAAGGAGAUGAAUUCAUUCUCUGCUGUGAAGUCUAGUCCUUGACCUCUCUUUGAUGUUGGAAGAAUCCUGUUUACCAUUCAUCCUGCUCAAUCUGCAAUUUAUUUGUUUUUGAAUGUGCCUUGAUCUAUUUGCUUCACCCACUUGGUGCCUUCAACUCAGAGGUUAAGAAAUGACAAGAUGAAGAAUAUGAUGAAGGCUCUUGUUCAAGAUCUUGAAUGUGUGUUAGCUAGUAUUUCUACUCCAUUUGUUAAUACUUGUUUCUCACAUUUCGACAUGCUCAUUCUAGUUGUGAUCCAGUGGGUGAUUUUAAACUGUAAAUGUUAUGAAGGUCCUUUGACUAUUAGUCUAUCUUACCAAUUUAGUCAUAUUUUGAUGGCCUUUUAAGAAUUAUGAAAUGUUUGCAAUACAAAACAUUUCUUAUUCUGACUGGGGAAGAUUGUUAACCAAUACACUUAUUGAUUUAUGUAAAAGUUAUUGUUAAUUUCGUCACAUUUGAAAAAAUUCCCAAUUUUCUUGGCCUAUCUUCAUUCAAUCCAUGUCCCAAACAAAGCAUAAAGGAUCACAGUAGGUGGAAAUGUACAAUGUUUCGCUCUAAACAAUGAAAAGUAGAAACGAAAAAAGCUUACUGAGCCAUCUUAGGUAUAUAUCCUCCUGUUGAAAAAAUGAAAUGGAGUGACUCCAUUAAUUUUGAAUCAAUCUCCUCAAGGAAUCUUAGUGGGUUUUUAUUGUGUUAAUUGCUUGAGGAUCUAUCAGUCUGUUUCAUUGCGUAUCCCACUCUUAUGUUAAAACUAUGCACAUAUGGAAUACUGGUUUUGCUGGUGGAACGUUCUAAGUGCUUCUAAAGUUCCUGUUUUGCUAAUGUUGCAGUUAAAGGCCUUCAAGGACGGAUGGACAAAAUACAGGUUUUCUCCUGACAAUAAUAUGUCAUUUAUCUUCUCUAAUUUACAAGUCCAGUUUUGUCAGUCUUACUUGAUGAUAACUUUUCGUUUGAUAUAUCAGACCCAUGCGGCAGCAGUGGUGAUCACGGCAUGUAACCACGCUGAUUAUCUUGAGAGGACCAUUAUGUCUAUCUUGAAGUACAGUGUGAAGUCUUUUUGGUUUAUGAGAGCUCAAGGCACUUUGCUCAUAUCGGUUCUUCCAUUAUUGGAUUCUCCUCAUUUUCCAGACAUCAGAAUGCUGUUGCUUGAAGGAUAGGUCUGAUCCACAAGUUAGAAAGAAGGCCUUGAUAUAUGAUCAGUUAACCUACAUGCAGGGAUUUUAGUACGUACCUGUAUAUCUAGAAAAGUACAGGUGUACAGUGCAACAUUUGGAUUCUAAGCCGGUGCAAACUGAAAGGCCUCGGGAGUUGAUUGCAUACUGUAAAAAAUCGCACCAACAGCAGCAGCAGCAGCAGCUCUUCCUCAGCUUCCUCCUCCUCUUCGUGGUGUUGGCGAUCAUCUCUGGGGCCGACGCCGACGUCGGCACGGCUGCUUAUUACAGCUCUCCGUACACGCCGACGGAAUGCUAUAGAGAUGACCCGUCCCAGCUUCCUCCGGGCAACCUGUUCGCGGCGGCGGGCGGCGAUCUGUGGAAUAACGGGGCGGCCUGCGGCCGGGUGUACGCGGUGCGGUGCGUCGCCGCGUCGCCGUCCGUCCCUUCCAGCUGCGGGAGCGAUGGCCUAAUCCAGGUCAAGAUCAUCGACAACGCCCUCUCGGCCAAUUCCUCGGCGGCGGCGCACAAGCAGUCCGUGACCGGCGCCACGUUGGUCCUGUCCGAGGAGGCGUUCGUUCUAAUCGCUAAGCCGUUCGCGGAUUCCGUCGCCAUCGAAUUCCAAUGAAUAGCACCUACCGUUGGCCUUUCUGGGAUUGCAAGUGUAGCUGAUCAGAAGACGGUCCAAAGGCCGAUUUUGUUGUAGGGAGUAUCCAUCCUGAUUCUGACGUUGCUGAUAAUAUCAUCUGGAGAUCUUCUGCUACCAUAGAUGUGGAUUCCAUUGAAAUCGUUUAGAUAUAGGAAGCUGCCGCAUGUUUCUUUUAGUUGCGAUCCAAGUUCAACCGCAACUCUUUUUCUAGUUCAUGCAUGAACAGAGAACUAGCUGGAUAUUUUCGUGGGAAGAAGAGACUUAGUAGUAUAAUAUCCUACAUCACCAGGUCUGUUGAAAUCAUAAGUUGAUUUAACCUCUUUUGUAAACUGUAUACCUACUUGAUUGCUAACGUCCAGUUGGUUCUUUUAAUUGUAAUUAUCCACUUUCUAAUGAAGAGAGGUUUUCUAGAUUUCAUUUAAAGCA